rnacentral:rRNA from 1 species
GGCUCCGGCCCUAUCAGCCUGAAUGCGCCCGAUCUCGUCUGAUCUCGGAAGCUAAGCAGGGUCGGGCCUGGUUAGUAUCUUGGAUGGGAGACCACCUGGGAAUCCCGGGUGCUCGAGGCU